AUUGAACGCUGGCGGCAGGCCUAACACAUGCAAGUCGAGCGGAUGAGAGGAGCUUGCUUCUCGAUUCAGCGGCGGACGGGUGAGUAAUGCCUAGGAAUCUGCCUGGUAGUGGGGGACAACGUUUCGAAAGGAACGCUAAUACCGCAUACGUCCUACGGGAGAAAGCAGGGGACCUUCGGGCCUUGCGCUAUCAGAUGAGCCUAGGUCGGAUUAGCUAGUUGGUGAGGUAAUGGCUCACCAAGGCGACGAUCCGUAACUGGUCUGAGAGGAUGAUCAGUCACACUGGAACUGAGACACGGUCCAGACUCCUGCGGGAGGCAGCAGUGGGGAAUAUUGGACAAUGGGCGAAAGCCUAAUCCAGCCAUGCCGCGUGUGUGAAGAAGGUCUUCGGAUUGUAAAGCACUUUAAGUUGGGAGGAAGGGUUGUAGAUUAAUACUCUGCAAUUUUGACGUUACCGACAGAAUAAGCACCGGCUAACUCUGUGCCAGCCGCCGCGGUAACAC
rnacentral:rRNA from 1 species